UAACGCCUUCGCUGGAAACCUAUCAAGGCAUUUCAGUGAUGCCACUGACCCAUGAGAUCUCAUCCAGACACACCACAGGGCCCAGAAGGGUGUCAGAUAACCUGCUCACAGUGUGUGGCCGGGGCAAGCCAGGCCUCUGCUCUCGGGGGGCAGACUUCCUCAUGGACACAAUGACGGGCUCGGGCCAGAAGCCUGCUAAGACCCCCACAGAGCGUGAUGGGGUUGAUAAGAGGCUGUCUUUGCUCAAGCCUGUCCGUGG